GAUGAACGCUGGCGGCGUGCCUAAUACAUGCCAGUCGAGCGAACAGACGAGGAGCUUGCUCCUCUGACGUUAGCGGCGGACGGGUGAGUAACACGUGGAUAACCUACCUAUAAGACUGGGAUAACUUCGGGAAACCGGAGCUAAUACCGGAUAAUAUAUUGAACCGCAUGGUUCAAUAGUGAAAGACGGUUUUGCUGUCACUUAUAGAUGGAUCCGCGCCGCAUUAGCUAGUUGGUAAGGUAACGGCUUACCAAGGCGACGAUGCGUAGCCGACCUGAGAGGGUGAUCGGCCACCCUGGAACUGAGACACGGUCCAGACUCCUACGGGAGGCAGCAGUAGGGAAUCUUCCGCAAUGGGCGAAAGCCUGACGGAGCAACGCCGCGUGAGUGAUGAAGGUCUUCGGAUCGUAAAACUCUGUUAUUAGGGAAGAACAAAUGUGUAAGUAACUAUGCACGUCUUGACGGUACCUAAUCAGAAAGCCACGGCUAACUACGUG
rnacentral:rRNA from 1 species